rnacentral:rRNA from 1 species
GAUGAACGCUGACAGAAUGCUUAACACAUGCAAGUCGAUGGGGAAGUGGUGCUUGCACCAUGGUAACCAUGGCGGACGGGUGAGUAACGCGUAAGGAACUUACCUGCGGGACCGGGAUAACAGCAGGAAACUGCUGACAAGACCGGAUAAGGUCAUUAAGCUGCAUAGCUUAGUGAUGAAAGGAGACGCCUGCGGAGAGCCUUGCGUCCUAUUAGCUAGUUGGAGGGGUAACGGCCCACCAAGGCGAAGAUAGGUAGCCGGCCUGAGAGGGUGGACGGCCACAAGGGGACUGAGAUACGGCCCUUACUCCUACGGGAGGCAGCAGUGGGGAAUAUUGGACAAUGGGGGCAACCCUGAUCCAGCAAUUUUGUGUGCACGAAGACGGUUUUCGGAUUGUAAAGUGCUUUCAGCAGGGAAGAAGGAAGUGACGGUACCUGCAGAAGAAGCGACGGCUAAAUACGU